GUAAAAGCUGAAAAUGAAAGUUGAUGAAAGCAUGUACUCCCAUGGCUGCAGUGUUGCUUGCUUGUAACUGUGUUGAAAAGAGAAAUUAAGGAGAGUAUCUGAAUAAGGACUGAAAUAGCCAUCUCUGUAGUGCAAUUGAAGGUAUACUUACGCAUGUUGUGUAUAUUAAAAUUUGUGACGUAGAUAAGAGGGUAAAUAAACUCUUCCAGGAGUAAUGAAAGUUAAAUUGAUAAUCAUGCUCCCAAUAGCAGAGGUAUGAAGAAAAAACAGUUAAUUCCUACCAAUUGUGUGCAGAGUGCAAUUGAGAAGCGAG
rnacentral:lncRNA from 1 species